GAUGAACGCUGGCGGCGUGCCUAAUACAUGCAAGUCGAGCGAACGGACGAGAAGCUUGCUUCUCUGAUGUUAGCGGCGGACGGGUGAGUAACACGUGGAUAACCUACCUAUAAGACUGGGAUAACUUCGGGAAACCGGAGCUAAUACCGGAUGAUAUUUUGAACCGCAUGGUUCAAAAGUGAAAGACGGUCUUGCUGUCACUUAUAGAUGGAUCCGCGCUGCAUUAGCUAGUUGGUAAGGUAACGGCUUACCAAGGCAACGAUGCAUAGCCGACCGGAGAGGGUGAUCGGCCACACUGGAACUGAGACGCGGUCCAGACUCCUAAGGGAGGCAGCAGUAGGGAAUCGUCCGCAAUGGGCGAGAGCCUGACGGAGCAACGCCGCGUGAGUGAUGAAGGUCUUCCGAUCGUAAAGCUCUGUUAUUAGGGAAGAACAUAUGUGUAAGUAACUGUGCACAUCUUGACGGUACCUAAUCAGAAAGCCACGGCUAACUACGUG
rnacentral:rRNA from 1 species